UGGGGAAUCUUGCGCAAUGGGCGAAAGCCUGACGCAGCCAUGCCGCGUGAAUGAUGAAGGUCUUAGGAUUGUAAAAUUCUUUUCACCGGGGACGAUAAUGACGGUACCCGGAGAAGAAGCCCCGGCUAACUUCGUGCCAGCAGCCGCGGUAAUACGAAGGGGGCUAGCGUUGCUCGGAAUUACUGGGCGUAAAGGGCGCGUAGGCGGACAUUUAAGUCAGGGGUGAAAUCCCAGAGCUCAACUCUGGAACUGCCUUUGAUACUGGGUGUCUUGAGUGUGAGAGAGGUAUGUGGAACUCCGAGUGUAGAGGUGAAAUUCGUAGAUAUUCGGAAGAACACCAGUGGCGAAGGCGACAUACUGGCUCAUUACUGACGCUGAGGCGCGAAAGCGUGGGGAGCAAACAGGAUUAGAUACCCAGGUAGUCCCUGAGCGGGCUGGCAAGGCGCAU
rnacentral:rRNA from 1 species